ACGGAGGAUGCAAGCGUUAUCCGGAUUCAUUGGGCUUAAAGGGCGCGUAGGCGGCACGAUAAGUCUGUGGUGAAAUUCCUGCUCUCAAGUGGAGAACUGCUUUGGAUACUGUCGUGCUUGAGUGCAGGAGAGGUAAGUGGAAUUCGUGGUGUAGCGGUGAAAUGCGUAGAGAUGGGGAGGAACACCAGUGGCGAAGGCGACUUACUGGACUGUAACUGACGCUGAGGCGCGAAAGUGUGGGGAGCAAACAG
rnacentral:rRNA from 1 species